GGACGUUCCCCUUCGGGGGACAGAGUGACAGGUGGUGCAUGGUUGUCGUCAGCUCGUGUCGUGAGAUGUUGGGUUAAGUCCCGCAACGAGCGCAACCCUUGUCCUUAGUUGCCAGCAUUCAGUUGGGCACUCUAAGGAGACUGCCGGUGACAAACCGGAGGAAGGUGGGGAUGACGUCAAAUCAUCAUGCCCCUUAUGACCUGGGCUACACACGUGCUACAAUGGAUGGUACAAAGGGUUGCGAGACCGCGAGGUUUAGCCAAUCCCAUAAAACCAUUCUCAGUUCGGAUUGUAGGCUGCAACUCGCCUACAUGAAGCCAGAAUCGCUAGUAAUCGUGGAUCAGCAUGCCACGGUGAAUACGUUCCCGGGCCUUGUACACACCG
rnacentral:rRNA from 1 species